rnacentral:siRNA from 1 species
GAGGUCUUGGGUUCGAGGAACGCC